UUUAAAAAAAAUAAAAGGAGUACAUGUGCUCCUAAUUAGAAAAAAUUGUAGGAGCAAAAUAAAAUGUAUUCAUGGAUUUCAAGUGUAUUCAGGGUUUCAAGUGCUAUGCUCUAGCGACUGAGCUACGGAGGACCGCGCUCUAGCGACUGAGCUACAGAGGGCCGCGCUCUAGCGACUGAGCUACAGAGGGCCGCGCUCUAGCGACUGAGCUACAGAGGGCCGCGCUCUAGCGACUGAGCUACAGAGGGCCGCGCUCUAGCGACUGAGCUACAGAGGGCCGCGCUCUAGCGACUGAGCUACAGAGGGCCGCGCUCUAGCGACUGAGCUACAGAGGGCCGCGCUCUAGCGACUGAGCUACAGAGGGCCGCGCUCUAGCGACUGAGCUACAGAGGGCCGCGCUCUAGCGACUGAGCUACAGAGGGCCGCGCUCUAGCGACUGAGCUACAGAGGGCCGCGCUCUAGCGACUGAGCUACAGAGGGCCGCGCUCUAGCGACUGAGCUACAGAGGGCCGCGCUCUAGCGACUGAGCUACAGAGGACCGAGCUCUAGCGACUGAGCUACGGAGGGCCGCGCUCUAGCGACUGAGCUACAGAUGACCGAGCUCUAGCGACUGAGCUACGGAGGGCCGCGCUCUAGCGACUGAGCUACAGAUGACCGAGCUCUAGCGACUGAGCUACGGAGGGCCGCGCUCUAGCGACUGAGCUACAGAGGACCACUUUAGAAGCGCAUCUAAAGAAGCUCUCCCUUGUUACUUUCUGAACCACCAGAUGUUUACUGCUGGUAAAAUUACCACACGAUAUCCUUCAUCUGUGGUUAGGCAGGUUGCUAGCUAGCUAAUGAUCUGUGGUUAGCAGGUUGCUAGCUAGCUAAUGAUCUGUGGUUAGCAGGUUGCUAGCUAGCUAAUGAUCUGUGGUUAGCAGGUUGCUAGCUAGCUAAUGAUCUGUGGUUAGCAGGUUGCUAGCUAGCUAAUGAUCUGUGGUUAGCAGGUUGCUAGCUAGCUAAUGAUCUGUGGUUAGCAGGUUGCUAGCUAGCUAAUGAUCUGUGUUUAGCAGGUUGCUAGCUAGCUAAUGAUCUGUGGUUAGGCAGGUUGCUAGCUAGCUAAUGAUCUGUGUUUAGCAGGUUGCUAGCUUGCUAAUGAUCUGUGGUUAGCAGGUUGCUAGCUAGCUAAUGAUCUGUGGUUAGCAGGUUGCUAGCUAGCUAAUGAUCUGUGGUUAGCAGGUUGCUAGCUAGCUAAUGAUCUGUGGUUAGCAGGUUGCUAGCUAGCUAAUGAUCUGUGGUUAGCAGGUUGCUAGCUAGCUAAUGAUCUGUGGUUAGCAGGUUGCUAGCUAGCUAAUGAUCUGUGGUUAGCAGGUUGCUAGCUAGCUAAUGAUCUGUGGUUAGGCAGGUUGCUAGCUAGCUAAUGAUCUGUGGUUAGCAGGUUGCUAGCUAGCUAAUUAUCUGUGGUUAGCAGGUUGCUAGCUAGCUAAUUAUCUGUGGUUAGCAGGUUGCUAGCUAGCUAAUGAUCUGUGGUUAGCAGGUUGCUAGCUAGCUAAUGCUGUAAUAGGACAGAACAAGGUUGAAGUAACUCUCUCUCUCCUCUCC